rnacentral:lncRNA from 1 species
AUUCCCGGGGACAACUUUGCAAGGCCAUGUGCUCGUCCUCCUUAGGAAGGAAGAGGGAGAAAUCCCUGCGGCUCGGUUUUGUUCCAAUGGUCUGCUCAGCGAGUGAUUCCCGUUUCCCCAAAGGCUGCCCCUCAUUAGCAUGAACGGGGGUGGGGGUGUGGAGAAGGGGUUGGGGGAGAGAAAGCAAGCAAAAGACCAGGCUCACUUUUAGAGCCUGGGAACCCUGUCUGCAAAAAUGACAGCUAGAGCUUUCUGGCUCCUCUGUUUGAUCGUCGGAUCAUCCCCCGAAGCACCGGUGGCGGAGAGAAAAAGUAAGAUUGGUGUAGUGCGGGGCCCUGGGAGCGGAGCGGGGAUCUGUGGGGGGGAGCUGGGAAGGAGGCUCAGUGAAACGUGGGACGAGGAGGGGGGUCAGAGCUCGCAAGAGAGGACACCCCGGGUCUGCGUUCGUCUUAUAAAGGAGCAAAGUGUGUCCCCAAGGUUUCGUGUCUCUUGGCAGCCUUUUCGGAAAGAAGCCAAUUUAGCUACUGAAAUGAUCCCGAGCAAGCCGGGCAGGCUGGGGAAAACUUUGCAUGUUAAGUAGUUGCUCCAUCACGGAGGAGGGAAAGUGUCAAAAGGGGUCGUGGCGCGCCUUUCGGGAGCCGUGCCCGGGCCGGGCUCGCAGGACGCCGCGGGGUCCGCCCCCCUCGACUGGGUGAGCAGGGGCUGCGGGGGGCGCUGUGGAGGGCUGGGGGGAAGCGGGGCCGAAAUCCGGCAGCCCCGGGCACUUUGCUCUCCCCGCAGCCCCAGCGCACAACCUUGGGACACCUGAGCCGGGGUUUAACUAACACGCACACACUCUUAUACUUCAUGCACGAAAUGAAAUUAAGUUACUCAGCCCGUGAAGAAAUGAGGGGUUCUCUGGGGGAUCGUGUUUUUGUUUUGCUUUUAUUUGGAUGUUCUGUCGGCUUCGCUAUCUCUGGGAAAAACAGUUUCCGUACCUCACAGGGCAAUUUACUCUGGGUUAUUUUUCCACAUGGAAAUUGAAUGACUUCAGUGGCAUUUAACCCAAAUAUCAGACAAUCUUUCCCAUGACAACAGAUGGUUAUAUCAAUGGGGAAGCAGUUGUGAGGUCAACAGUUGACAGUCAGGAAUUGGAUAUCCACCAGAACUUUAUUCAGCUGUGCAUGGCACAACCGUUUAACAACAUAAUGAGUCAGAAUCAACCUCUUUGCAAAAACAUGAACUCUAACCAGCUAUUAUUGCUGGGUGAAAGCUGAUUUUAAAGCAGAUUAUCGAUUUGGCAAGACUGAUCAACUUUAAAUGAAGUGUUGCCAGAGCUGCAAAUGGGCAGAUCCAUCUCUUUAAUGCAAGGGGAGAGAAAAAUAAAGGCUAGUUCUUGCCUGUUUGGAGGGCACUGGGACCCAGGCAAGCAAGGAGGUGAAAUUGUGUAACUGGUAUGGAAAGGUGCCCAGCUCCCAAGCUGGCUGAGGUUUACUCACCAACCUGUCUGCAGAACUAGGGAAAAUCAUUAAUAAUUUUAAAAAUUUGUUUUCAUGCCAUACCAUUUAGGAGUCUUUCCUCCAUCAUCUAAUGGGGAAAAAAAUGUAAGCGACGUGUGCUUUUAUACUUAACCAGGGGCCUCUCUGCCUCCCAGCCAAGCUUUUAAAACCUUCCUUAGCUGUGGUUUACCAGUAAGUGGUGUCCAAGAAGCCAGAUAAAAAUCCACUUACAAAUGCUCGAUUCUGCAGAGACCGGGAUGACAGUGUAAACAUGGAUGGGAAAACCAAAUAGUUCUGUUGUCAGGGGCGCUUAAAGAAUUAGGAGAACCUGUAAUAUGAGACCUUUCCCCCUGGGGUUUGCUCUUGGUACUUUCUCAACAAACUGUAAAUAGCAAAGAGGCGGAUGUUUAUAUAUGUUUUAUAUAUAUAUAUAUAUAUACACACACACACACACACACACACGCACACGCACACAUACACACAUAUACGUAUAUAUUAAAGGAAGGGCAAAAAAGUUUGUUAUCUAACCAGUGUUGUAAGACAUGUUUAGUCUUAGAGUAAAUAGGGGGUUGUAAUUUUAAAAGCUAUAAUCUUAGAGGUCAAGACCCUCGUAUCCUUCUUCCUUUGGGGCCUGGGAAGCGCGUGCCCCGCUUGGCCGCGACGCUGCGUCCGGGUUCUCCCUGCUUCACUUCCAGGCCUCCGGGCCUCCCUCCCAUCUCUCCUCUUGCAGGUGCCUGCGAAGCCUCCCUUGUCCUCUAUCUCCUCUCCCCCUCCCAGAGCCCUUCUUCUGCAGCGCCCCUGCCCCACUAGCGGCCUCCUCCCCUCCUGGCUUCCCUUCCCCUCUCGGCCUCCCGUCUCAGCCUCCCCUUCCCUCUUCUUCCUUCUCGGCUUCCUCGGCUUUCCCCGACGGCCUCCCCUCACUGCUUCUCCUCCCCCACCGCCUUCCCGCCUCUCCUCUUCUCUCCCCACAGCCUCGCCGCCGCACAGCAGAAAGCCGGACUCCCGCGGCUGCCCGAGCGCGGAGGAGACACCGGGGCCCCGCGCGCAGCCACUCCUUGAGGCCCCGCAGCGGCCGCGCGCGGCCGAGGUCGCUCCCGCCGCCCGCGCCUGGCCUGACCCGCGCCGCCGGAAGCCCCCACCGCCGGCCGACAACCAGGCCAGCUUCCGGGAGGCCGCACGCGCGCCCGCUGGCCCGCCGGGCCCGCGCCUGGCGCAA